rnacentral:rRNA from 1 species
AACGAACGCUGGUGGCAGGCUUAACACAUGCAAGUCGAACGCAUCGCAAGAUGAGUGGCAGACGGGUGAGUAACGCGUGGGAACAUACCCUUUUCUACGGAAUAGCUCUGGGAAACUGGAAUUAAUACCGUAUACGCCCUACGGGGGAAAGAUUUAUCGGGGAAGGAUUGGCCCGCGUUGGAUUAGCUAGUUGGUGGGGUAAAGGCCUACCAAGGCGACGAUCCAUAGCUGGUCUGAGAGGAUGAUCAGCCACAUUGGGACUGAGACACGGCCCAAACUCCUACGGGAGGCAGCAGUGGGGAAUAUUGGACAAUGGGCGCAAGCCUGAUCCAGCCAUGCCGCGUGAGUGAUGAAGGCCUUAGGGUUGUAAAGCUCUUUCACCGAUGAAGAUAAUGACGGUAGUCGGAGAAGAAGCCCCGGCUAACUUCGUGCCAGCAGCCGCAGUAAAAC